CUUUAUAAUAACAUGAUUUUUAUUCCUUUGGGUAUAUACCUACUAAUGGGAUUGCUGGGUCAAAUGGGAUUUCUGGUUCCAAACCUUUGAGGAAACACCAGGCUGUCUCCCACAAUGGUUGAACUAAUUUAUAUUCCCACCAACAGUGUAAAAGUGUUCCUAUUUCUCCACAAUCUUGCCAGCAUCUGUUGUUUCUCGACUUUUUAAUAAUCAACAUUCUGACUGGCAUGAGAUGGUAUAUCACUGUGGUUUUGAUUUGCAUUUCUCUAAUGAUCAGUGAUGUUGAGCUUUUUUUCAUAUAUUUAUUGGCUGCAUGUAUGCCUUUUUAUAUUACACUUUACUCUGUUGUCUAAGGACCUCUCUCACCAACCCUGUGAAAUCUUUAAAAAAAAAAAAAAAAAAAAGGUGCGUGAAAUACUGUGUGAAUGUACAGUUUUCUUAGAAUAGAAGGCUUUCCUCAGACUUGCUCAUGGUAUCAUGUAUGUUUCCUCCACUGAAAAUACAUAAUUAUUUGCAUGAUUUUUUAAAAAUAGUACCUCACUCCACACGAGACUGUAAGUUCCCUGAGGCAGAGACUGAUUCUUUUUUUUCUCACUAUGAUUUCUCCAGCAACUAGCAAACAUUAGGCAUACAGUAGGUACCUAAUAACACAAAUUGAUGGGAUGGGUGGACGAAUGGGUGGAUGGAUGGAUAAUUGAUUUACUAUCAGAGAGGUCAUUAGUGUCAGACUUAGAUUAAAGUGAAAAUAAGGCUAUGUCUCAUUUUACAUACAGAUAAGAGCAAAUACAUAUGGGUGAGAGAUUCCAAGACGUUAUUUACAGUAGCUACAUCCAGUGCCACAGUUCAGGUCUCCAGGUGUGC
rnacentral:lncRNA from 1 species